CAGCCGCCGCGGUAAUACCGGCGGCCCGAGUGGCGGUCACUAUUAUUGGGCUUAAAGCGUCCGUAGCCGGGUUGGGAAGUCCUCCGGGAAAUCUGGCCGCUUAAAGGUCAGAAUGCCGGAGGAUACUCCCAGCCUAGGGAGCGGGAGAGGCCGAGGGGAUUCCCGGAGGAGGGGGGGAAUCCUAUAAUCCCGGGAGGACCACCUGUGGCGAAGGCGCUCGGCUGGAACGCGUCCGACGGUGAGGGACGAAGGCCAGGGGAGCAAACCGGAUUAGAUACCCGGGUAGUCCUGGCUGUAAACGAUGCGGACUUUGUGUCGGACAAGCUAUGAGCUUGUCCGGUGCCGGAGGGAAACCGUUAAGUCCGCCGCCUGGGGAGUACGGCCGCAAGGCUGAAACUUAAAGGAAUUGGCGGG
rnacentral:rRNA from 1 species